GAUGAACGCUGGCGGCGUGCCUAAUACAUGCAAGUCGAGCGAACGGACGAGAAGCUUGCUUCUCUGAUGUUAGCGGCGGACGGGUGAGUAACACGUGGAUAACCUACCUAUAAGACUGGGAUAACUUCGGGAAACCGGAGCUAAUACCGGAUAAUAUUUUGAACCGCAUGGUUCAAAAGUGAAAGACGGUCUUGCUGUCACUUAUAGAUGGAUCCGCGCUGCAUUAGCUAGUUGGUAAGGUAACGGCUUACCAAGGCAACGAUGCAUAGCCGACCUGAGAGGGUGAUCGGCCACACUGGAACUGAGACACGGUCCAGACUCCUACGGGAGGCAGCAGUAUGGAAUCUUCCGCAAUGGGCGAAAGCCUGACGGAGCAACGCCGCGUGAGUGAUGAAGGUCUUCGGAUCGUAAAACUCUGUUAUUAGGGAAGAACAUAUGUGUAAGUAACUGUGCACAUCUUGACGGUACCUAAUCAGAAAGCCAUGGCUAACUACGUG
rnacentral:rRNA from 1 species